AAAAUUUCCUAAAUGUAGACGGGGUGAGCGAGGACGUGGUAACACCUGGUGACAUUUAACUUAUCCAUUUAACUUUAACUGUCAACACAACACUCAGGUCAUGGAUGAACAAAAUUUGCCACUUGAUAUUCCUGAUGGUAAAUUAGUGGAUUGGUUAAUUUCUCGAUGACACAUAAACAUGAGUGGCCAGAGAUGGUGCGCAUAAUCUGUGAGAAAAUCAACAAUGCAACCCAGGAUAUGCCCGAGCACCCACAGAUCACUUGUCUUCUUUCUGGAACUUAGCACGGUGAUGUGACCACAUAUGAGUGACUUUAUGGUGAGGCUCCCUGCAGCAUAGAGGAACCACAGCUUGAUUUUCUAACUGAUGAGAAACUAGACAGCAGAUGACCAAAAAUACAUCAUUACUUCAGGACGAAAUCGGACAGGUUUGCAACAGCCAAUCAGCUGCAACUUUUGAGAAGUGGGCGGGGGAUCUCUUCUCAGCUGGGAAAAAAUGCACUAUAAUGAAAGUAGGUCAGCGGGACCGAUCAGCUGUUACCGCUCUGUAAACAAGAGACUGAGAAUAUACAGUACUACGGCACAAUAGCUCAUCUGGGAUUGAGAGUGGAAAUUGGGGGAAUAUUCACUAUUUUUCAAUAAUGUUUUAUUAACCCGGCACCAAAUGAACCUAAAUAAUAUGGGAAUUAUCGAGAAUUGCAUCAUGUUGUUAUAAAAGGAUCGCGGGCUGCCAAGUAGGAAUUGGUGAGUUGUACUACCUCCCUCCUUCGCCAUCUCCUCUCCCCAGCUACACACCAAAUGUAGUUUUGUACAGUAUCUUGAUAUAAUUCAUAUUCUAUUCCUAUAAUUCAGUCUUCUUAAUCUAUUUCAUAAUAUAUCCCUAUAAUAAUAAUCAACUUUUUGGAACUGCUCAUUUAUUUCAGAAUCAUUCCAAAUUCAAAUAGGUUAAUUAAUUUUUUGAGAAAAUAAUUAUGAAUUAAGCUGAAAUCCGAAUUAUAACAAUCUGAAUCAACGAGGAUAGUGUAUACAAAGUUUAAGCUUUCAUAAAUAAAUAAUAUUCACUCACUAUAUUAGGGGUGACUUCAAGCCUAGCUUAGACAGCUUUACUAAAAGGCUCUUAUACCGGACAUCAUCAAAGGCUUUGUUGAGUGUCAAGGGAAAUCACAAAGCUCUCACUAAAUGAUUCAAGAAUUGUUGGCCACAAGCUAGUGACAUAUGAGGCGUUGCGUGGAAAAACUAGCACAAGCUCCACUCAGGUCACAAUCAUGUUUAUGCCUGCAAACGGUUCUUCAAACACCCUAUUUUCAUGAGGUGAUAGACGAAGUGCAAAAAUGCCAAUGACCAUAUGGUUGAAAGUCCAGAGACGAAACCUAUCUCUGGUCCGCAUCUCAUCUCAUCGAAGUUAAGGUGAGGCUAACAGUAUCGUUUCAAAAAAUUAUUUGCAUAUUUUACAAACAUUUUUAAACCAAAUUGCAACAUUCUAGCAAGAAUACUUCCGUGAUACCAAUUCCAGAAUAUUGCAAACUUUGAUUGCAUUUCCUGAGAAAAAUGAGCAUGGUGCUAGUGCUAGUUUCUCCAUGCAACGCCUCAUAUGUCAAUGAUACAUAUGGGAUCUGACCUAAAUUAUUCUUGUCUGUGAUUAUGGCAGAAAGAGAAAGUAAACCAGUGAGAAUUUUCUAACUUCAAAUAGUCAUAUCCUUCUUACUGAUGACCUUAGGUGUGCAGUCUAUUACCUAGUAAACCAGGAGAAUGAUUUACAUUUAACAUUAUUUUACAGGAAGAAGACAUUCCUACAGUUAACUUUGUGGUUGAGGAGUCUGGUAUUGCAAGGGAUGCAGAGAUUCUCACGCCCGUAUUAUUACACAAGAUCUUCCCUUGAAGAGGGUCGUCGUAUUUCAACCCGAGUUUUAAACUAAAUGAGUCCUGAGGGACA